rnacentral:lncRNA from 1 species
UGCAAUCCAUUGAACUUAAAAAGAAUGCGCAUAAAGGGUAUAGAAUAAAAUCUGGAUAACAUAAAAGAUUUGUUCUCCAAGAAUAAAUUGAAAAGAUUUGUUGUUCUCUAAGAAUCCAUUGUCAAAAUCUGAUUUUGUUUAAACAAUGUAUUUUAAUAUUUUGUGUAAACAAUAUAAUUUUCAAAAAAUAAAAAAUAAAAAAAAGGAUACUCCCCUCGAUUUUCU